CAUGCAAGUCGAGCGGAAACGACAMYAWYRAUYCUUCGGRKGMKUURWUGGGCGUCGAGCGGCGGACGGGUGAGUAAUGCCUAGGAAAUUGCCUUGAUGUGGGGGAUAACCAUUGGAAACGAUGGCUAAUACCGCAUAAUGCCUACGGGCCAAAGAGGGGGAUCUUCGGACCUCUCGCGUCAAGAUAUGCCUAGGUGGGAUUAGCUAGUUGGUGAGGUAAUGGCUCACCAAGGCGACGAUCCCUAGCUGGUCUGAGAGGAUGAUCAGCCACACUGGAACUGAGACACGGUCCAGACUCCUACGGGAGGCAGCAGUGGGGAAUAUUGCACAAUGGGCGAAAGCCUGAUGCAGCCAUGCCGCGUGUAUGAAGAAGGCCUUCGGGUUGUAAAGUACUUUCAGUUGUGAGGAAGGGKGURWMGUUAAUAGCUKYAYMUCUUGACGU
rnacentral:rRNA from 1 species